rnacentral:rRNA from 1 species
UGGCUCAGGAUGAACGCUAGCGGCAGGCUUAACACAUGCAAGUCGAGGGGCAGCGGGGAGGAAGCUUGCUUUCUCCGCCGGCGACCGGCGCACGGGUGAGUAACACGUAUGCAACCUGCCCCUGUCAGGGGGACAACCCGCCGAAAGGCGGGCUAAACCCGCGUACAUGCCACCGGGGCAUCCCGGAGGCAGGAAAGGCUUCGGCCGGACAGGGAUGGGCAUGCGGCGCAUUAGGCAGUAGGCGGGGUAACGGCCCACCUAACCGACGAUGCGUAGGGGUUCUGAGAGGAAGGUCCCCCACACUGGUACUGAGACACGGACCAGACUCCUACGGGAGGCAGCAGUGAGGAAUAUUGGUCAAUGGUCGGGAGACUGAACCAGCCAAGCCGCGUGAGGGAGGAAGGUACAGAGUAUCGUAAACCUCUUUUGUCAGGGAACAAAGACUGGGACGCGUCCCCGGAUGAGUGUACCUGAAGAAAAAGCAUCGGCUAACUCCGUGCCAGCAGCCGCGGUAAUACGGAGGAUGCGAGCGUUAUCCGGAUUUAUUGGGUUUAAAGGGUGCGCAGGCGGUCUGUUAAGUCAGCGGUCAAAGCCCGGGGCUCAACCCCGGCCCGCCGUUGAAACUGGCAGUCUCGAGUUGGAGAGAAGUAUGCGGAAUGCGCGGUGUAGCGGUGAAAUGCAUAGAUAUCGCGCAGAACUCCGAUUGCGAAGGCAGCAUGCCGGCUCCACACUGACGCUGAGGCACGAAAGCGUGGGCAUCGAACAGGAUUAGAUACCCUGGUAGUCCACGCAGUAAACGAUGAAUGCUGGCUGUCCGGGGGGACUGACCCCUGGGUGGCGAAGCGAAAGCGAUAAGCAUUCCACCUGGGGAGUACGCCGGCAACGGUGAAACUCAAAGGAAUUGACGGGGGCCCGCACAAGCGGAGGAACAUGUGGUUUAAUUCGAUGAUACGCGAGGAACCUUACCCGGGCUCAAACGGGAGUGGCGCAGGCAGAGACGCCUGUUUCCCACGGGACACUCCCCGAGGUGCUGCAUGGUUGUCGUCAGCUCGUGCCGUGAGGUGUCGGCUUAAGUGCCAUAACGAGCGCAACCCCCGCGUGCAGUUGCUAACAGUCAACGCUGAGGACUCCGCACGGACUGCCGGCGCAAGCCGCGAGGAAGGCGGGGAUGACGUCAAAUCAGCACGGCCCUUACGUCCGGGGCGACACACGUGUUACAAUGGGUGGUACAGCGGGAAGCCAGGCGGCGACGCCGAGCGGAACCCGAAAUCCACUCUCAGUUCGGAUCGGAGUCUGCAACCCGACUCCGUGAAGCUGGAUUCGCUAGUAAUCGCGCAUCAGCCAUGGCGCGGUGAAUACGUUCCCGGGCCUUGUACACACCGCCCGUCAAGCCAUGGGAGCCGAGGGCGCUUGAAGUGCGUCGCCGCGAGGCGCGCCCUAGAGUGAAAUCGGUGACUGGGGCUAAGUCGUAACAAGG